rnacentral:tRNA from 1 species
GAGGGUGUAGCUCAAGUGGUAGAGUGCAUGCUUAGCAUGCAUGAGGUCCUGGGUUCAAUCCCCAGUACCUCCU